GUCUACAGCCAUACCACCCUGAAUGCACCCGAUCUCGUCUGGUCUCGGAAGCUAAGCAGGGUCAGGCCUCGUUAGUAUUUGGAUGUGAGAAGAGCCUUUCCUACUUUGCUCCUUCGGUAACAUGUCUAGUGCAAUACC
rnacentral:rRNA from 1 species